GAUGAACGCUAGCUACAGGCUUAACACAUGCAAGUCGAGGGACCGGCUCACGGGUGAGUAACACGUAUCCAACCUACCCUUUACUCGGGGAUAGCCUUUCGAAAGAAAGAUUAAUACCCGCUAUUAAGGUUGGGGAGUCGUUGCAUUAGGUUGUUGGUGAGGUAACGCCUCACCAAGCCUUCGAUGGAUAGGGGUUCUGAGAGGAACGACACUCUCAUUGGAACUGGGCCACGGUCCAAACUCCUACGGGAGGCAGGAGUGAGGAAGAUUGGGCAAGGGGCGUUAGCCUGAACCAGCCAAGGAGUGUGAAGGAUGAAGGCUUAUGGGUCGUUAACGUCUUUGAUAUAAGAAUCUGUAUUAAAUGAAUAAGGAUCGGCUAACUCCGUGCCAGCAGCCGCGGUAAUUC
rnacentral:rRNA from 1 species